rnacentral:rRNA from 1 species
AGGUCCCCCCACAUUGGAACUGAGACACGGUCCAAACUCCUACGGGAGGCGGCAGUGAGGAAUAUUGGUCAAUGGGCGAGAGCCUGAACCAGCCAAGUAGCGUGAAGGAUGACUGCCCUAUGGGUUGUAAACUUCUUUUAUAAAGGAAUAAAGUCGGGUAUGCAUACCCGUUUGCAUGUACUUUAUGAAUAAGGAUCGGCUAACUCCGUGCCAGCAGCCGCGGUAAUGCGGAGGAUCCGAGCGUUAUCCGGAUUUAUUGGGUUUAAAGGGAGCGUAGAUGGAUGUUUAAGUCAGUUGUGAAAGUUUGCGGCUCAACCGUAAAAUUGCAGUUGAUACUGGAUAUCUUGAGUGCAGUUGAGGCAGGCGGAAUUCGUGGUGUAGCGGUGAAAUGCUUAGAUAUCACGAAGAACUCCGAUUGCGAAGGCAGCCUGCUAAGCUGCAACUGACAUUGAGGCUCGAAAGUGUGGGUAUCAAACAGGAUUAGAUACCCUGGUAGUCCACACGGUAAA